UACGAAGGGGGCUAGCGUUGCUCGGAAUCACUGGGCGUAAAGCGCACGUAGGCGGAUUGUUAAGUCAGGGGUGAAAUCCUGGAGCUCAACUCCAGAACUACCUUUGAUACUGGCGAUCUUGAGUCCGGGAGAGGUGAGUGGAACUGCGAGUGUAGAGGUGAAAUUCGUAGAUAUUCGCAAGAACACCAGUGGCGAAGGCGGCUCACUGGCCCGGUACUGACGCUGAGGUGCGAAAGCGUGGGGAGCAAACAGG
rnacentral:rRNA from 1 species